rnacentral:rRNA from 1 species
AUUGAACGCUGGCGGCAUGCCUUACACAUGCAAGUCGAACGGUAACGCGGGGCAACCUGGCGACGAGUGGCGAACGGGUGAGUAAUGCGUCGGAACGUGCCCAGUAGUGGGGGAUAGCCCGGCGAAAGCCGGAUUAAUACCGCAUACGACCUACGGGUGAAAGCGGGGGACCGCAAGGCCUCGCGCUAUUGGAGCGGCCGAUAUCAGAUUAGGUUGUUGGUGGGGUAAAGGCCUACCAAGCCGACGAUCUGUAGGUGGUCUGAGAGGACGACAAGCCACACUGGGAAUGAGACACGGCCCAGAUUCCUACGGGAGGCAGCAGUGGGGAAUUUUGGACAAUGGGCGCAAGCCUGAUCCAGCCAUGCCGCGUGCGGGAAGAAGGCCUUCGGGUUGUAAACCGCUUUUGUCAGGGAAGAAACCCUCUGGGCUAAUACCCCGGGGUAAUGACGGUACCUGAAGAAUAAGCACCGGCUAACUACGUGCCAGCAGCCGCAGUAA